rnacentral:misc_RNA from 1 species
GAUGAAGAACGUAGCGAAAUGCGAUAAGUAGUGUGAAUUGCAGAAUUCAGUGAAUCAUCGAAUCUUUGAACGCACAUUGCGCCCCAUGGUAUUCCGUGGGGCAUGCCUGUUCGAGCGUCAUUUACCCCCUCAAGCUCCGCUUGGUGUUGGGCGUCUGUCCCGCUUCGCGCGCGGACUCGCCCCAAAGGUAUUGGCAGCGGUCGUGCCAGCUUCUCGCGCAGCACAUUGCGCUUCUCGAGGCACCGGUGGGCACGCGUCCAUCAAGCUCACCCCCCCAGUUUGACCUCGGAUCAGGUAGGGAUACCCGCUGAACUUAAGCAUAUCAAUAAGCGGAGGA